rnacentral:misc_RNA from 1 species
AUUUGAGAUGCCCAUACACUAGUAAUGCGCGCACUUAAUAAAUUGAAAAACUCUUUGUUUUUUGAAUAGCAUAAUUACAUUUAACUUCUAGUAAUGCAAAUUUGCAAUUUAGGGGUAUACAGAAUGCUAUGCUAUGGUAUAUUUUCUUGGAUGGCAUUUUUUUUUCCAAUCCAAACCCCAAAAUUUUAGUACAUUGUGCAUCUCUAGCAUUGUCACCCCCAUUCCCACAGUGACAGCUUGCUACGUGAAAUUAGAGCAAGAAGGCGUAUACAUAGAUAUCAGAAGAAAUAAAAGGGCUACCAACAAAUUUCACAUAAGAGCACCAAAACAAGAGAUGAAGGAAACUGUGAAAAAGAAACCAAGAAUAUCAUUACAUAACAGGAGCACCAACGUGCUAUUUUAAAGUUUAGGAGGUCAUGGUGAUGUUCAAUAGUAUUAGAAUUGUCUUCAAGACUGUAAAGUUACAAUUUCAAACACCAAUUAAAGUCUAAUUAAUUUAAAAAAAAAAAGGGAGAACGUUUUAUAGGAUAUCUAUGACGAAGAAAGCUUAACUUUCUUCAUUAGGUCUAGGCUCUUGUUGGGCAAGUUACAUUCUUCUACAUGGUGAGAACCUUACAAGACAAACAACGAGGUACUAAUAAUGACAACACAAUAUUGUAAACUCUGGCUACCAAUAGAAAAGACAGCCUCCUUUUAUCCGCCCCAAGAAAGGAAGCAGUUCAAGAAGUUUGACACCUAAAUCCUUGCUUUAAGAACUUCACACACUGUAGAAAUAACUAACGAGAACAAAAAGAAAGAGCAUUCCAGACAAUUAUAAUUAUUCUUCUUUCCCAUCUAGGCAUGUUGCUGACCAAUAAUAAACGCUAUCAGACUAGGAAAGUUACUCUUCCACUUACAACAUCAGCAGGAAAUGCAUUGAACAGCCUUUGGAAAAUCCAAAGCCCUAAAUGAUAUUUGAAAGAUUACUUCCUUCCCACAUUCCCAUUACCUUGGAAAACAACCAAAAGGAAAUUAUGCCUGCCCUUUCAACCCUAACUAUUCCUCCCAUCCUAUUGCUUACACCAACCUUACACCUAAAGCUUCUCAAAUUAGCUAGCGCAACUUAAAACACCUAAUCACACAGCAAAGCACACUUGCAGGCUCCUAUGCCAUGCUACACUGAAAACAUUCGAAUGGGUCCUGAUGACCGCCAUCUUACCUACAGCAACCUCCUGCGCCAUUUCCAAUCAAGGAUAAUUCUCAAGAAACAGCAGGAAAAUCAUUCUUAAGGCCUUUCCACAUUCUCACAAUGUUUUUUCUCUGUCACAAAGUACUUUCUGAACUCCAAUUGCUCUUCAGAAUAUCCCUAUUAACAUCCUAAGGCUCCAUUUGGCUCUGCUGUGCACAAAAUCUGAGUUAUAAAACACGAAGCUUUUCAAGGAAGCUUAUUUUCUCACUUAGUUUCCUUGAGAACCCCACUUUGUGCACAGAAGGGCACAACACAUACAAACUGGCUCCGAGUCUCCACAUCAAUUAGACUACUACCUAGUAAAGCCUCUAGAUAUAAAGAAAAGGAACAGAACAAUCUAUUCACGUCGUGCAGGGCAAAUGUACCUACAGAAUAUUGCCUUAGCAUGCUGGCACCUGCUAAUAUAAGAUUGCAAAGAAGAAAAGGGGUGACUAAAGCAAAAAGCAACAUUGGGCAAUUAUGCCUCAACCACCCCUACAGAGAGUGGACAUAAACUGAGCUCCUCAUCCUUCCCCCUAGAACAAUGUGAAGAUUGAAGAGCUUAAGUUUAAUGACCUACAGCUAACUCGCAGUAAAUUUGAGGUCAAAAUCCGAACUAACAAAAAUAGGAGUUGGGGAAUGUGAUUUGUUGUGGAAAAAUAUAAUCGCAAUCACAAAAUAAUCGGAACACAUAGUUUAAGUGGUUCGGUAAAUUGCUUACUCUAUGAAACAAUCCACUAAUAAAGGAAAAAUAAUACACCAUUAAUUAAUCUCACAUGAUCCCCAAAUCCUUCAACCCAAUUACAACCAAUGGUGUUUACCCUUACUAAGUAGUAGUGCUCUCACGUGCAAGCGAGGAGCUUGCUCCACCCAUGGCACACACGUCACAACCUCGCAAACUUGAUGCCAUCCAAAACAAGAUCUCAAAGCUCCUUACAUAGGCAUGAAUGCAGUUAAAACUUGGCCAAAUUCAUGCACCUUCUGUAUCUUGGGCACUAUUCCAAUUAAGCUUUCAAGAAGCUUCUUCAAUGAGCUUUUACAUUUUCUUAAUUAUCAUAUUAUGGGCUGGACUUAACAUGAUUUCUGCACAGUAGAGAAGCCAUUCAUGCAGAGACCAUUAAAUGGAGACUGAUUUCAUAAUAGUCCAGUUUCAGUUGGAUUGGAUGUUAUAGAGUGAUCUAAUGUCUUGAUUUUGAAUGUUCUGUCACCAACUAUUAACAUAUGAAUCAAACCGAAACUCCAUUUACAAUUUACCUUUUUGCUAAAACCCAACUUGCAAUCCUACUGUUGGCGUGUAAAUCUUUGUGACCAGAACUAUAUACGAAAAAGAGGUUGCAAAAUGGAUUGACCAGCAUAAUCAAGGCAUCUUGAAUUUUGAUGCAUAUAAACUACAACAGAAAAACAUUGUCUACAAACCUGGCCUUUCUAUAUGACCAAUGAACUAGUUAGAAGGAAACUUAGGUCGCCAACAAAAUUGUCCAUCCUCCGCAUCCUCAUUGAAGGGUGCCUUACGCUUUUUCAUAGUUGUGUCCAAAUUCUGACGUUCACCCACUGAAAAACACUUAAUUGGACAGGACUCAGAAGGAUCAUUAGUAUUUGUAAUAGGAGAAAGAAACAACUCUUUGUUUUUUUGUAGAGAAAACUCACUAAGCUUGCCCCUAUCUAGAGAACUGUUUGAAACAAGAUCCUCUGUCUCUUGAGCCGAACUUUCCAUGCUCAUACAGGGUUCAGCACAUAGACCCAACCUUAAAGACAAAUCACAUUGCAUCCCAGGUGACUUUUCAUGAGUAAUUCCCAAAUCUCCUUGUGAGAUCCUCUUGGCAGCAAUUUCAGCACUAGGACAGAAAAGGUUCUGCAAAACACCCAUUUCAGCAGACUCUGCAACUAAUGUGCUGAAACGAUUGCCAACAUAUAUAAUGUUGGGAUUCUUCUCUGUGACUUGGGAAACCAAAUAGGGCUUUUUUCUCUGAUAGUUAUUUCCAUAAUACAAAGGAUAAACUGAACCCAAGUUCAGUUGCUUGUUAGUGUCCUUCGUCAUCAACUGACUACAGCCAGUAGAAGUAUUAUCAUACAGUAGAGGAUAACUGCAAGGAGUAGCAACAUUACUAGCCUCAGUCAAAUGAUGGUUACUUUCUGAAACUGGAAAUGUUGAAUUUACAGCCAUGGUGGCUCUUGCAAAGUUCAACUGAUUGCUGGACUGAAGCGGUGCUGACUGAGGACAUUGUUUAUCAUUUGUUUUUUCCAAAACUCUAAGCGGUGCAGACACAGGUUCUUGCACUCUUGGGCUGAGGUAACUCCUGGGAUUACUGUGCCGUUGGCUUCUUGAAGCUCUAACUGGAAUGCAGCCCAGAUUGAGGGCAGCUAAACAACAUUUUGGCAAAAGACGCAUAGUUUAACACCUUGAGCACAUUUGUUUCAAACUAUUUUUAAUGGCAAAUCAAAUUAAGCUUGAACCUACAAUUUUUAAUUUUUUUUUUAAUUUACCACAUAUAAAUUACCUUCCAAUCCCUUUAGCCAUUAAGAAACAAGAUAAGCAUAAUUACAGAGUUGGAUCCAAUAAAUGUGAAAGUGAAUUAUCAGUACCUUCAAUACAAGGAGGCAGAAGCUCUCCAGUUUCACUGCUCUCAUCUCUCCGAAUAAUUGUGUUAAUGGCGUCAUUCACACGAUCCCAUAAUGUUUCUAGGUUCAUGUACUCAGCCUCAGAGUUGGCUUUGGAGUACAUGAUUUCCUCAGCUUUCAAGACCACGAGAGGAAGCUUCUCUUGCCACUCCUUGUUCUUUUUAGUUGCGGCACUGUGACUCUCUUUAGCGACCCUGAAAAUUUGUUGAAUGAUAGAACCUCUCAGGGGUUGGUGUCUAUCGCUGUGCCAAGCUCUCCUCACGCACUCAUAAGGUCUCGGCCCUGGCCUCGGCAUCUUCACCAGCAACUCCCUCUAACCGCAGACCACCCUCUAUAGCAGAGACAGAGAAAGAGAGAGAAAGAGGCAGAUAUUUAAGCGUUUAUAGAGAGAGUACACUACAUGGGUGCAGAUGGGUCACUUCAAAUUCUUUUGUUGCUUUCGCCCUUUCAAAUCAAAUUGCAGUUAGCAAUGGGGGCUUUUUUUCGUUGGCUGGGAAGCAGUACAAAGAAAAGAGAGAGAGAAUUGAGGAGAGAGAAUUGUUUACC